UGCCAGCAGCCGCGGUAAUACGGAGGGUGCACGCAUUAAUCGGAAUUAUUGGGCGUAAAGGGCGCGUAGGCGGAUAGGAAAGUUAGAUGUGAAAUUUCAGAGCUCACCUCUGAAGCUGCAUCUAAAACUACUUGUCUAGAGGAUAGGCGGAGAAAAUGGAAUUCCACAUGUAGCGGUGAAAUGCGUAGAGAUGUGGAAGAACACCUGUGGCGAAAGCGGUUUUCUAGCUUAUUCCUGACGCUGAGGCGCGAAAGCGUGGGUAGCAAACAGGAUUAGAUA
rnacentral:rRNA from 1 species